rnacentral:rRNA from 1 species
UACGUAGGGUCCGAGCGUUGUCCGGAAUUAUUGGGCGUAAAGGGCUCGUAGGCGGUUUGUCGCGUCGGGAGUGAAAACGCCGGGCUUAACCCGGUGCUUGCUUUCGAUACGGGCAGACUGGAGGUAUGCAGGGGAGAACGGAAUUCCUGGUGUAGCGGUGAAAUGCGCAGAUAUCAGGAGGAACACCGGUGGCGAAGGCGGUUCUCUGGGCCUGUACUGACGCUGAGGAGCGAAAGCGUGGGGAGCGAACAGG